GAUCCUGGCUCAGGAUGAACGCUGGCGGCGUGCCUAAUACAUGCAGGUCGAGCGAGGGGAUUCGUCCCCUAGCGGCGAACGGGUGAGUAACACGUAGGUAACCUGCCUUAGGACUGGGAUACCCGGACGAAAGUCCGGCUAAUACCGGAUAACAACGGAGAUCGCAUGAUUUCCGCUUGAAAGGUGCGUUUGCACCACCUUUAGAUGGACCUGCGGCACAUUAGCUAGUUGGUGAGAUAACAGCCCACCAAGGCGAGGAUGUGUAGCCGACCUGAGAGGGUGACCGGCCACAAUGGGACUGAGACACGGCCCAUACUCCUACGGGAGGCAGCAGUAGGGAGUUUUCGGCAAUGGGCGAGAGCCUGACCGAGCAACGCCGCGUGAGUGAUGAAGGUCUUCGGAUUGUAAAGCUCUGUCAGGAGGGACGAAAUCUGCGAUCAGGAAAUGGGUUGCAGUUGACGGUACCUCGUUAGGAAGUGACGGCUAACUACGUGCCAGCCGCCGC
rnacentral:rRNA from 1 species